rnacentral:rRNA from 1 species
GACGAACGCUGGCGGCGUGCUUAACACAUGCAAGUCGAACGGAAAGGCCCUGCUUUUGUGGGGUGCUCGAGUGGCGAACGGGUGAGUAACACGUGAGUAACCUGCCCUUGACUUUGGGAUAACUUCAGGAAACUGGGGCUAAUAUCGGAUAGGAGCUCCUGCUGCAUGGUGGGGGUUGGAAAGUUUCGGCGGUUGGGGAUGGACUCGCGGCUUAUCAGCUUGUUGGUGGGGUAGUGGCUUACCAAGGCUUUGACGGGUAGCCGGCCUGAGAGGGUGACCGGCCACAUUGGGACUGAGGUACGGCCCAGACUCCUACGGGAGGCAGCAGUGGGGAAUAUUGCACAAUGGGCGGAAGCCUGAUGCAGCAACGCCGCGUGCGGGAUGACGGCCUUCGGGUUGUAAACCGCUUUCGCCUGUGACGAAGCGUGAGUGACGGUAAUGGGUAAAGAAGCACCGGCUAACUACGUG